rnacentral:rRNA from 1 species
GUUGACCUCGGAUCAGGUAGGAAUACCCGCUGAACUUAAGCAUAUCAAUAAGCGGAGGAAAAGAAACCAACAGGGAUUGCCUCAGUAACGGCGAGUGAAGCGGCAACAGCUCAAAUUUGAAAUCUGGCCUCACGGUCCGAGUUGUAAUUUGUAGAGGAUGUUUUGGGCACCGCCUCGGGUUAAAUUUCUUGGAACAGAAUGUCAAAGAGGGUGAGAGUCCCGUCUUGGCCCGCGGUAGGACCUAUGUAAAACUCCUUCGACGAGUCGACUUGUUUGGGAAUGCAGGUCAAAAUGGGUGGUAAAUUUCAUCUAAAGCUAAAUAUUGGCCAGAGACCGAUAGCGCACAAGUAGAGUGAUCGAAAGAUGAAAAGCACUUUGAAAAGAGAGUUAAACAGUAUGUGAAAUUGUUGAAAGGGAAGCGCUGGCAACCAGACUCGAGCGCGGUGUUCCCCCUGGCUUCUGCCUGGGUUACUUCACCGUGACCGGGCCAUCAUCAGUUUUGGGGGCCGGUCAAAGGUCCGGGGAAUGUAUCCUCUCCUUCGGGGGAGGACUUAUAGCCCCGGGCGUCAUGCGGCCUCCCGGGACUGAGGAACGCGCUUCGGCGAGGAUGAUGGCGUAAUGGUUGUCAGCGACCCGUCUUGAAACACGGACCAAGGAGUCUAACAUCUAUGCAAGUGUUCGGGUGUCAAACCCUUGCGCGGAAUGAAAGUGAACGGAGGUAGGAAGGCCUGAGCCUGCACUAUCGACCGAUCCUGAUGUCUUCGGAUGGAUUUGAGUAAGAGCAUAGCUGUUGGGACCCGAAAGAUGGUGAACUAUGCGUGAAUAGGGUGAAGCCAGAGGAAACUCUGGUGGAGGCUCGCAGCGGUUCUGACGUGCAAAUCGAUCGUCAAAUUUGCGUAUAGGGGCGAAAGACUAAUCGAACCAUUUGGUAGCUGGUUCCUGCCG